GACGAACGCUGGCGGCGUGCUUAACACAUGCAAGUCGAACGGAAAGGCCUUUUCGGAGGUACUCGAGUGGCGAACGGGUGCGUAACACGUGGGUGAUCUGCCCUGCACUCUGGGAUAAGCCUGGGAAACUGGGUCUAAUACCGGAUAGGACCGCACUUUAGUGUGUGUGGUGGAAAGUUUUUUCGGUGUAGGAUGAGCCCGCGGCCUAUCAGCUUGUUGGUGGGGUAAUGGCCUACCAAGGCGGCGACGGGUAGCCGGACUGAGAGGUUGGUCGGCCACAUUGGGACUGAGAGACGGCCCAGACGCCUACGGGAGGCAGCAGUGGGGAAUAUUGCACAAUGGGCGCAAGCCUGAUGCAGCGACGCCGCGUGGGGGAUGACGGCCUUCGGGUUGUAAACUCCUUUCGCCAGGGACGAAGCGUUUUGUGACGGUACCUGGAGAAGAAGCACCGGCUAACUACGUG
rnacentral:rRNA from 1 species